rnacentral:lncRNA from 1 species
CCCCUAGAAACUCUGAAAUUGUGCUCCAAUCAAAUUGACCAGAAAGUGAUAAUCAGGAACGAAUUCGAACUAAUUCUCAUCACCUUGUAAUGCAUUUUGACCUCCAAUCAGACCAAAAGACAACAAUAUCAUGAUGAAUCUCAGUAAGCUUGCAGCUAAAAGACAAGAAGUCCGCCAGUAGUGAAUGAUUCAUAGAUAAAUAAUAAAUCAUGUUUUCUUAUAUGUCUUACUUUUAUUAUUUUUCUGUUUAAUUUUAUUAUUUUUCAGUUUAAUUGCAAGGAACUCUGCU